UACGUAGGGACCAAGCGUUGUUCGGAUUUACUGGGCGUAAAGGGCGCGUAGGCGGCAUGACAAGUCACUUGUGAAAUCUCUGGGCUUAACCCAGAACGGCCAAGUGAUACUGUCGCGCUAGAGUGCGGAAGGGGCAAUCGGAAUUCUCGGUGUAGCGGUGAAAUGCGUAGAUAUCGAGAGGAACACCUGAGGUGAAGACGGGUUGCUGGGCCGACACUGACGCUGAGGCGCGAAAGCCAGGGGAGCAAACGGG
rnacentral:rRNA from 1 species